rnacentral:misc_RNA from 1 species
UACAGAGGGCCCGAGCGUUGCGCGGAAUCACUGGGCUUAAAGCGUGCGUAGGCGGACCUGUAAGUACCUUGUGAAAUCCCACGGCUUAACCGUGGAAUGGCUCGGUAUACUGCGGGUCUUGAGGUCGGUAGAGGCCGCCGGAACAGUAGGUGGAGCGGUGAAAUGCGUAGAUAUCUACUGGAACGCCAAAGGCGAAGGCAGGCGGCUGGGCCGAUUCUGACGCUCAGGCACGAAAGCGUGGGGAGCGAACGGG